GAUGAACGCUGGCGGCGUGCUUAACACAUGCAAGUCGAACGGUGAAGCAGGAGCUUGCUCUUGUGGAUCAGUGGCGAACGGGUGAGUAACACGUGAGCAACCUGCCCCUGACUCUGGGAUAAGCGCUGGAAACGGCGUCUAAUACUGGAUAUGUGAUGUGACCGCAUGGUCUGCAUCUGGAAAGAAGUUCGGUUGGGGAUGGGCUCGCGGCCUAUCAGCUUGUUGGUGAGGUAAUGGCUCACCAAGGCGUCGACGGGUAGCCGGCCUGAGAGGGUGACCGGCCACACUGGGACUGAGACACGGCCCAGACUCCUACGGGAGGCAGCAGUGGGGAAUAUUGCACAAUGGGCGGAAGCCUGAUGCAGCAACGCCGCGUGAGGGAUGACGGCCUUCGGGUUGUAAACUUCUUUUAGCAGGGAAGAAGCGAAAGUGACGGUACCUGCAGAAAAGGCACCGGCUAACUACGUGCCAGCCGCCGCGGUAA
rnacentral:rRNA from 1 species